GCCUCCGCUCUGCAGAACAGGCCCGGGACCCGAACGCCCAGCUCCCGGGGCGCCGGGGCACGUCGGAGUUCCGUUUGCAUGAACUUUUCUACCCAAAGGAAGUCUUGAAACCUCCAUAAAUGCACUUCAACUAUUGCAAAAAAAAAAAAAAGAAAGAAAGAAAAAAAAUCGGAAAUUUGUUUUAGGAUCUAUUCUCUUUACAAAAAUGGGAACAUGAAAGCAGUCCCCCAAUUUGAGCAACGUGCUCUGCAAGGACAGAACGCGUUUACUAAACCUGCAGCUACCGCCGGUGCAGGUAGGAUCCCGUCUUCACGUACAUCUAAAGAUCCAGUUGUAGAGGAAGCGGGGCCGCGUCCUGGCCGGGCUCCCAGAGGGGCCUCCUCUGCUGCUGGCACACAAGGCCGCCUUUGAGAUGGGAAAAUUCUUCCCUACCACGUCUUUAUGUUGUAGCACUGGAUGGGAUGAUAACAUCGAAAGAAAAAGACCUUAUGAAAGUACUGGACUUUUUUUUUUUCUUUUUUUUUCAAAAACAUGUUGAAAGAAUGAGUAAUACCACGACAGGGUAUAUAUAAUUAAACCUUUUUCCAGGGUGAGGGAAAGGUUCUGUAUGAAGUCGUCGUGUUGAUGUUAUCAAGUGAAUAAGCAACGCUUGCUUCCUCAAAUCCUUCAACUGAAGAAAUCACUACUGGAAGGUCGUCUUAGCCUAAGUGUCAUGGUUUUUGCUGCUGUGGACCUUGUUCUGCUAAAGAGACCAUCAACAAAGUAUCAUAGCAUAAAGACCAUUUCUUGGAAAGAAUAUCCUAUUGUGCUGUACUAACCCUUCUGAUGGUGAUGAGAUGAAGUGAGGUGAAUGUCUCGGCAUUGCCACGGUGUUGGCCCACUAUCGGCCUGAUGAUGCUAUGUCAGAAGGAGGAUCGUCUACUCCAGGAUCCUGGGCUGCUCAAACCACGGAAAGUGAAAUCUGGGACUACUGUAUUUCUACAGUUAAACACUAAAGUCCCUUGUUUGUUUUCUGGGCACGUUUAGAUAGUAUAUUCUUCCCACAUUAAGAAUGGUAUUUUUGGCCCACUUUGCAUUGCCUUAAACACACUGUGGUGCUGGGGGAAGUAGUGGGAGGAAGGAAAA